GACGAACGCUGGCGGCGUGCCUAAUACAUGCAAGUCGAGCGAAGUUUUUCUGGUGCUUGCACCGGAAAAACUUAGCGGCGAACGGGUGAGUAACACGUAAAGAACCUGCCUCAUAGACUGGGACAACUAUUGGAAACGAUAGCUAAUACCGGAUAACAGCAUUAACUGCAUGGUUGAUGUUUAAAAGUUGGUUUUGCUAACACUAUGAGAUGGCUUUGCGGUGCAUUAGCUAGUUGGUGGGGUAAAGGCCUACCAAGGCGACGAUGCAUAGCCGACCUGAGAGGGUGAUCGGCCACACUGGGACUGAGACACGGCCCAGACUCCUACGGGAGGCAGCAGUAGGGAAUCUUCCGCAAUGGGCGAAAGCCUGACGGAGCAACGCCGCGUGAGUGAAGAAGGAUUUCGGUUCGUAAAGCUCUGUUGUUAGGGAAGAAUGAUUGUGUAGUAAC
rnacentral:rRNA from 1 species